UCACAUUACAUAUUUUUUUGGUUUUCUUUUUUCUUCUCUUUUCAGAUUACUACUACACCAACUCAAACUAUUCUUGCUCUGCUUCUUCUACCAAUCAAAUGGGUUUCACUCUCAACCAGACACAUACACAGAGUUUGGUGAGAGACAUGAAAGUGAAGGUGUUAAGCCAAAAGAAAUGAAAGCUAUAGAAGUCUCGUUGUCUGCUUCAAAAAAAGGAAGAAAUAAUCCAUUGACGCGACCUCUACAUAAAACAACACAUACACCAUCAAAACAAAUUAACAAGCGACAAAGAAAUGAACUCUUCUAUACAAAACCUGAAGAGUCUCAAGGAUGCAACCGUUUGAUUUCUAUUUUUUAUAUUAUAAGGUAAACUGACACACUCCCUAUCUUGCGGAAAUUAUUUGA